GCCUGGGUGGCUUAGUUGGUGAAGUGUCUGACUUUAGCUCAGGUGGUGAUCUCAGGGUCCUGGGAUUGAGCCCCAUGUCAGGCU
rnacentral:tRNA from 1 species